rnacentral:rRNA from 1 species
GACGAGCCACACGAACGUUAUUCGGAAUUACUGGGCUUAAAGGGUGCGUAGGCUGCGCGGAAAGUUGGGUGUGAAAUCCCUCGGCUCAACCGAGGAACUGCGCCCAAAACUGCCGUGCUCGAGGAAGAUAGAGGUAAGCGGAACUUACGGUGGAGCGGUGAAAUGCGUUGAUAUCGUAAGGAACACCUGUGGCGAAAGCGGCUUACUGGGUCUUUUCUGACGCUGAUGCACGAAAGCUAGGGGAGCAAACAGG